rnacentral:tRNA from 1 species
UAUAUUUUAGUAUAUGAGGUACAUAGAAUUUUGAUUUCUAUAGAAUUAGUUUAAUUCUAAUAAAUAUAA